rnacentral:lncRNA from 1 species
ACGCUGGAGCUGAAUGCUCUGCUGGGAGGAAGCACUCAUUCUCUGGCAAUGCUGACGGGAGUGGAAAACAAGCAGGAAAGCACAGCCGCCGCCUUCAUCUUGCCUUCCCAUCGCUCACUGGCAGUGUUGUGUUGUCCUUGAUAUUUUAAAGCACCAUGAAAUGUAACAGCCGUUGAUCAUGGCGCCUGGUCCAAACAGGCAGAGGGAUUUCGAAUAUGGAAACGGAGCAGACAGAGUCUUAGGAGGGAACAGGGGCUCUUGAACUCUCUGGCUGCUGUUGGAUCCUAUGCCCUCAACAGUAUUGAGUGAGUGAAAGAUUUACAAUGGAAAUUCUGAAAAGAGCAGUCUCUUUGGUCCCGGCGGUUGCUAGUUUGGGAAUUCGGCUUCCCAGACACUUUGCUUUAACUUUCACCUGGCAGAAAUGCCGAUCCUGAAUAUUAACAAGCCUCUGUGAAGAGCAUAGACCAGAACUAGAGAAACAAAAAGGAGAGACAAAUUACCCCUGAGCUAACUACUGCCAGUCCUUCUCUUCUUUGCUGAGGAAGCCUGGCCCUGAGCUAACAUCGUGCCCAUCUUCCUCUACUUUAUAUGUGGGACGCCUACCACAGCAUGGCGUGCCAAGGGAUGCCAUGUCCGCACCCGGGAUCCGAACCUUCAAACCCCAGACCGCUGAGAAGUGGAACGUGCGAACUUAACUGCUGCGCCACCGGGCCAGCCCCCCACACUACAAAUUAUGAAGAAAUAAAACAGACAUAGACCUUAAGAGGCUUUCUGGUUAACAAAGACUUCAUACAUAAUUUAAAAUGAUAGGGAUGAAUUACAUGGCUCUCCACGACAAGUUAGUAUAUGUAGCAUCAAGAUUAAUGUUGCAAAGGGGAUAACUUUAAGAAUUUAUUAGUAUGUUGCAAGUAAUAUUUUUUAUGGUCAAAUUAUGAAAAUCACUUUUAUGAUAAUGGUAUAUAGAAGAAAAGUGUUACCAUGUAGAGAG